GAGAGAAGAGAAAAAAGAAAAAAAGAAAAAAAAGGAAAUUCAAUUUAGGUUGAAGUGGGGCAUAACAAUAAUACAUUUAAAACCAAAAACUGGAUGCCGCACCCACACAAAACAUAAUAAAGCAAUACUUGUUUUAUCCUCCCUUGACCUUCCAUUGCUCAACUUUUUUUCACUUAAUUCUCACUGCACAUAUUUUGGUUAAAAUUGGGGUCUCACUUGCCCUCACUGCGGUUAAGAUUGGGGUCACUCCUGCCCUCCAUAAACUGUGCGUGUACAUAUAAGCAAAUGUGGUUAAGGUCAGGGUUAGGAUAGGAUGAAGGUAUAAUUGUAUUAUCACCAACACAUUAGAGAAUUGCUUUGUCAUGCUAGUGUAAAUAACCAACAUCCAAAAGGAAUAACCCUCUACUUAUUAAUCUAUUUAACCCAAGUUUCAAUGCCUGCCCUCCAUAACUUCAACAAUGUGUUUUCACAAACAAAUUGUGGUUAAAAUCAAAAUUAGGGUUAAGGUUAAGGUUAGGGUUAGGGUUAGGAUUCAGACAUGUACUUACAAAAUUAAGGCAACAACAAGCGUGCUAAAAUUGUGGCCCACAGAUGGGCACCUCUGAAUCGAGGCGGCGCUGGCUAGCCAGGAUCAAAAUCAGGAUUCCGUCCCCGAAACAGGGACGGAGGUGCACGGGCACUCCCUCGACCAAAAGACCCUCCAAAAAUUAGGAUAUAUUAGAAGCCUAAAUAAGUAACUUCUUCUUGUUGUAACAAAAAUUUGUUUGGCCAAAAAAUGAAAUAACAUGCUCUGUCGCGACGUUUCGAUCCGUAUUGAUCUUCCUCAGGCGUAAGAGCAUGUACUGAGAGGUAUGAAAACUGUAGAAAAAUUGUCCUUGUCCAAGGGUUGCAAAUUGCAGUCAUUGCCUGGACAGGUCUGAACAUGCCUCAACUCGGUGUGGAAAUGAGAAGCAAAAGACAGAGGCUCCUUUUAUAGGGGUAAGACUCCGCCCCUGCAUGAAACAGCAAAACUUGCAUUGACUUAUUUUUAAAAAAGAAAAAAAGAAAAGAAAAAAGAAAAAAGAUAAAAAAAA